AGAGUUUGAUCCUGGCUCAGGAUGAACGCUAGCGGCAGGCUUAACACAUGCAAGUCGAGGGGCAGCAUGUCCAGCAAUGGAUGAUGGCGACCGGCGGAAGGGUGCGUAACGCGUGAGCAACAUGCCCUAUACAGGGAGAUACACCAGGGAAACUUGGUCUAAUAUCCCAUAGCAUUCAUUGAAGGCAUCUUUAAUGAAUUAAAGCUUCGGUGGUAUAGGAUUGGCUCGCGUGACAUUAGCCAGAUGGUGAGGUAACGGCUCACCAUAGCAAUGAUGUCUAGGGGUUUUGAGAGGAAGGCCCCCCACACUGGGACUGAGACACGGCCCAGACUCCUACGGGAGGCAGCAGUGAGGAAUAUUGGACAAUGGAUGGAAAUCUGAUCCAGCCAUGCCGCGUGCAGGAAGACGGCCUUAUGGGUUGUAAACUGCUUUUAUACGGGAGCAAUAAGGGUUACGAGUAAUCCGAUGAGAGUACUGUAUGAAUAAGGAUCGGCUAACUCCGUGCCAGCAGCCGCGGUAAUACGGAGGAUGCAAGCGUUAUCCGGAUUUACUGGGUUUAAAGGGUGCGCAGGCGGAACGACAAGUCAGUGGUGAAAUCUCCUGGCUCAACCAGGAAACUGCCAUUGAUACUAUCGUUCUUGAGUCCAGUUGAAGUAGGCGGAAUGUAGCAUGUAGCGGUGAAAUGCUUAGAUAUGCUACAGAACACCGAUAGCGAAGGCAGCUUACUAAACUGAAACUGACGCUCAUGCACGAAAGCGUGGGGAUCAAACAGGAUUAGAUACCCUGGUAGUCCACGCCCUAAACGAUGAUCACUCGUUGUUGGCAACUAUAUCGUCAGCGACUAAGCGAAAGCAUUAAGUGAUCCACCUGGGGAGUACGAUCGCAAGGUUGAAACUCAAAGGAAUUGACGGGGGCCCGCACAAGCGGUGGAGCAUGUGGUUUAAUUCGAUGAUACGCGAGGAACCUUACCAGGGCUUGACAUACGAUGGAAUGGUUGAGAGAUCAUCCAGCCCUUCGGGGUCGUCGUACAGGUGCUGCAUGGCUGUCGUCAGCUCGUGCUGUGAAGUGUUGGGUUAAGUCCCGCAACGAGCGCAACCCCUGCUAUCUGUUGCCAUCAAGUAAUGUUGGGGACUCAGAUGGAACUGCCGGUGACAAACCGGAGGAAGGUGGGGACGACGUCAAGUCAUCAUGGCCCUUAUGUCCUGGGCUACACACGUGCUACAAUGGCCGGUACAAAGCGCAGCUAAGCCGCGAGGUGGAGCGAAUCGCAAAAAGCCGGUCUCAGUACGGAUUGGAGUCUGAAACUCGACUCCAUGAAGUUGGAAUCGCUAGUAAUCGCAUAUCAGCAUGAUGCGGUGAAUACGUUCCCGGGCCUUGUACACACCGCCCGUCAAG
rnacentral:rRNA from 1 species